CCAAAACAACAUUGAGAUAAGAUCAUAUAAGUGGUAAUGUGGUAAGUGAACAUUAUCCUUGGCUAGAUACAUUUGUUAUUGAUUAUGUUGUUGUUGAUACAUAUGAACACGAUGCAUACGAUUUUGAUGAAUAAUGGACUAAAGAAACAAUAAUUUCAUGAUUUUUUCACACACAAGUAUAAAUACAUUGAUCCAAGAACAAUCCAUGUUAAGAAAAAUUACAGUGCAAUCAUUUAGAAGACUUUUCUAAUCAAAGAUAAUGAUGUUCUUUGUCACAAUUGGUGGCCUGAAGGCUGGGAGAGAACUUGUAGAUAGCCAAUAUCAACCUAAUGCCUCUAUUAGUUGCAAAAAUAGUUGAUGAUGUAAAGCUGACAAAGACAAAAAUGAUAUUGUAGUUAGCUGGCAAAUCGAUCAAACACCCAUCUAGAAUAUUUGAGAACAAGAUCAUGAAAGGGAAUGAAUUAGUAUUUCCAGUAGAUUUUGUAAUCAUAUACAUUUUAGAAGACAUAGAUAUUUCGUUAAUUUUAGGCCAACUAUUCAUGCGGACUACCAAAAUGACUAUUGAUAUUGAUAAGAAACACAUGUUAGUUAAAACUCAAGAUGAAUAGGUCAUGUUUGAUCUAUUUGAUACGUUAAAAUUUUUAGAAAUAAAAAUGGUUUUCAAACGGAUACAAAUAAGAAAUAAUUUAAGCAUGAGAUUGAUAGAGCAAAAAGGGAGAACAUAGGAAAACCACAUCCAAGUGGGACAAAUAUAAGCUUUAGAAGGACAAUGUGAAUUCACUUUGAAGGUCAUGUUCCAUCCCGCAAAGAAAAUGACAUGAGAAUAAAAUAGGUCAAGCAUCCUGCUUGAACCAAGUAUGUGUUAUAAAUUUCAACAUAGUUUGAAUUUAACUGCUCGUGACUUAGGUUUUUGAUUGAACAAGUAUACCAAUUUUUGUCAAACAUUUUAUUCUUAGGUUAACCUUAGAAUAAAGUAUGAGUAUGAAUUUUUCGCUUUUCUAAAGUAAACUUUCAUUAAUA
rnacentral:lncRNA from 1 species